UGCAAGUCGAACGAUGAAGCUUCUAGCUUGCUAGAAGUGGAUUAGUGGCGCACGGGUGAGUAACGCAUAGGUCAUGUGCCUCUUAGUUUGGGAUAGCCAUUGGAAACGAUGAUUAAUACCAGAUACUCCCUACGGGGGAAAGAUUUAUCGCUAAGAGAUCAGCCUAUGUCCUAUCAGCUUGUUGGUAAGGUAAUGGCUUACCAAGGCUAUGACGGGUAUCCGGCCUGAGAGGGUGAACGGACACACUGGAACUGAGACACGGUCCAGACUCCUACGGGAGGCAGCAGUAGGGAAUAUUGCUCAAUGGGGGAAACCCUGAAGCAGCAACGUCGCGUGGAGGAUGAAGGUUUUAGGAUUGUAAACUCCUUUUGUUAGAGAAGAUAAUGACGGUAUCUAACGAAUAAGCACCGGCUAACUCCGUGCCAGCAGCCGCGGUAAUACGGAGGGUGCAAGCGUUACUCGGAAUCACUGGGCGUAAAGAGCGCGUAGGCGGGAUAGUCAGUCAGGUGUGAAAUCCUAUGGCUUAACCAUAGAACUGCAUUUGAAACUACUAUUCUAGAGUGUGGGAGAGGUAGGUGGAAUUCUUGGUGUAGGGGUAAAAUCCGUAGAGAUCAAGAGGAAUACUCAUUGCGAAGGCGACCUGCUGGAACAUUACUGACGCUGAUUGCGCGAAAGCGUGGGGAGCAAACAGGAUUAGAUACCCUGGUAGUCCACGCCCUAAACGAUGGAUGCUAGUUGUUGGAGGGCUUAGUCUCUCCAGUAAUGCAGCUAACGCAUUAAGCAUCCCGCCUGGGGAGUACGGUCGCAAGAUUAAAACUCAAAGGAAUAGACGGGGACCCGCACAAGCGGUGGAGCAUGUGGUUUAAUUCGAAGAUACACGAAGAACCUUACCUAGGCUUGACAUUGAGAGAAUCCGCUAGAAAUAGUGGAGUGUCUAGCUUGCUAGACCUUGAAAACAGGUGCUGCACGGCUGUCGUCAGCUCGUGUCGUGAGAUGUUGGGUUAAGUCCCGCAACGAGCGCAACCCCCUUUCUUAGUUGCUAACAGGUUAUGCUGAGAACUCUAAGGAUACUGCCUCCGUAAGGAGGAGGAAGGUGGGGACGACGUCAAGUCAUCAUGGCCCUUACGCCUAGGGCUACACACGUGCUACAAUGGGGUGCACAAAGAGAAGCAAUACUGCGAAGUGGAGCCAAUCUUCAAAACACCUCUCAGUUCGGAUUGUAGGCUGCAACUCGCCUGCAUGAAGCUGGAAUCGCUAGUAAUCGCAAAUCAGCCAUGUUGCGGUGAAUACGUUCCCGGGUCUUGUACUCACCGCCCGUCACACCAUGGGAGUUGUGUUUGCCUUAAGUCAGGAUGCUAAAUUGGCUACUGCCCACGGCACACACAGCGACUGGGGUGAAGUCGUAACAAGG
rnacentral:rRNA from 1 species